rnacentral:rRNA from 1 species
AAGUCGAGCGGAAACGAUGAUAGCUUGCUAUCAGGCGUCGAGCGGCGGACGGGUGAGUAACACUUAGGAAUCUACCUAGUAGUGGGGGAUAGCUCGGGGAAACUCGAAUUAAUACCGCAUACGACCUACGGGAGAAAGGGGGCAGUUUACUGCUCUCGCUAUUAGAUGAGCCUAAGUCGGAUUAGCUAGAUGGUGGGGUAAAGGCCUACCAUGGCGACGAUCUGUAGCUGGUCUGAGAGGAUGAUCAGCCACACCGGGACUGAGACACGGCCCGGACUCCUACGGGAGGUAGCAGUGGGGAAUAUUGGACAAUGGGGGCAACCCUGAUCCAGCCAUGCCGCGUGUGUGAAGAAGGCCUUUUGGUUGUAAAGCACUUUAAGCAGUGAAGAAGACUCCGUGGUUAAUACCCACGGACGAUGACAUUAGCUGCAGAAUAAGCACCGGCUAACUCUGUGCCAGCAGCCGCGGUAAUACAGAGGGUGCAAGCGUUAAUCGGAAUUACUGGGCGUAAAGCGAGCGUAGGUGGCUUGAUAAGUCAGAUGUGAAAUCCCCGGGCUUAACCUGGGAACUGCAUCUGAUACUGUUAAGCUAGAGUAGGUGAGAGGGAAGUAGAAUUUCAGGUGUAGCGGUGAAAUGCGUAGAGAUCUGAAGGAAUACCGAUGGCGAAGGCAGCUUCCUGGCAUCAUACUGACACUGAGGCUCGAAAGCGUGGGUAGCAAACAGGAUUAGAUACCCUGGUAGUCCACGCCGUAAACGAUGUCUACUAGUCGUUGGGUCCCUUGAGGACUUAGUGACGCAGCUAACGCAAUAAGUAGACCGCCUGGGGAGUACGGCCGCAAGGUUAAAACUCAAAUGAAUUGACGGGG